rnacentral:lncRNA from 1 species
CUCUAUUCUUUUCUCCCAGAGGAAAAAGAUGUGAAGAGGCAUUCUGUCUUGGCACUGAGCUGUGCUAACUUGGGGGAGAGGCUGAUGCAGGCAUUCCUGUAAACUUAUAUUCAUGAAGAAAGUCAGAGUACUUGUUGCAGAUGCAAUGCUAGGUCUUCAGCCAUGUGCUAUAGAAACAGAAGGUGACAAAUAUAACCAAGGAUUGGGAGGAGAAAAAGAAGAAAGCCAAUUUGGGAAAUGAGACUGUAAAGUUUAUAAUGCUACUGAUUUUCAAACAUUUUCAGAAGCAAUGGAAAGAAGAAUGCGAAGAAAAUGAGUUUAUUUUCCAAAAUGCUUUUUUUGUUAUUGUUUUGCAAUUUCCCUUUGUUAACAUCAUAUAGGUUAUGGGGGUUUCUGUUUUGAAAAAAAUAAAUACUGCACCGUGUGUGGAUUGCUACUCAGCACUCAGCAAUAAAC